rnacentral:rRNA from 1 species
AUACCCGGGUAGUCCUAGCUGUAAACAUUGCCCAUUUGAUGUUGCUUUUCCGUUGAGGGAAGGCAGUGUCGGAGCGAAGGUGUUAAAUGGGCCGCUUUGGGAAGUAUGGUCGCAAGACUGAAACUUAAAGGAAUUGGCGGGGGAGCACCGCAACGGGAGGAAUGUGCGGUUUAAUUGGAUUCAACGCCGGAAAACUCACCGGGAACGACCUGUGCAUGAGAGUCAACCUGACGAGCUUACUCGAUAGCAGGAGAGGUGGUGCAUGGCCGUCGUCAGCUCGUACCGUAGGGCGUUCACUUAAGUGUGAUAACGAGCGAGACCCACAUCUUUAAUUGCAAAUGUAUAUGAGAAUAUGCAUGCACUUUAGAGAAACCGCCAGCGCUAAGCUGGAGGAAGGAGUGGUCGACGGCAGGUCAGUACGCCCCGAAUUUCCCGGGCUACACGCGCAUUACAAAGAACGGGACAAUACGUUGCAACCUCGAAAGAGGAAGCUAAUCGCGAAACCCGUCCAUAGUUAGGAUUGAGGGCUGUAACUCGCCCUCAUGAAUCUGGAUUCCGUAGUAAUCGCGGGUCAACAACCCG